UGAAAGAAUUCAUGUUCAGCAGGCCUCCAUGAUGUAAUACUCGAAGGAAGCUCUUGGAACAAAAGAAGGGAACUUCUGAUAUGCAAGAAAGAAUGAAGAGCUCAGGAAUAGACUACAUCACAAGAAGGUCAGGGUGCUUUCUGCUGAGUAUCGAUGAAAGCGGACAAGAAUAUAUACAGCAGAGCUCUUUUCGCUCUGUCUUCUUCAGUAAGCAAUGCUGGUGGAUUCUUCUGCAUCAACUUGGUUAAACUGAAACAACUUAUCCCAGAAUUUCUUCUGUAUAUAUUUCCAAGUUAGAGUCGGCCAAAAGAAAAAUUUGCACAAGAUCUGGAAGGUUGCAAGCUGGAAAUUGAGGCUUCUACCCCCAGAAAGCUGAUUUUUAAACCAGAGACUCAAGGUUCCCAAUCUUUUUGACCCUUUAUCAUCUUUUGACAGUGCUUAAAGACUCGACAGAGGACUUGACCUUCAAGGUAAAAGAGCCCUUCAUUCCAUAACAGGCAGUAUUCGUUCUAUCUUAGAACUGAGGGGAGCAUUGGAGGUCAUGUCACUUAAACCACUAAUUCUUCAAUGGAGAAAACCCAAGAUCAGGGAAGUCAAGUGACCCUGGGGAAACACCUCUGGUUUCCCAGCCAGGGAUCUUGCACCUGGACCACACCUCUCCAGUUAAUUUCCUCGUCGAGUAGGAGACUCAUGCACCACCUGGGGCUAAUGUUCUGGAGAAAUAUGUACCCGAAGGUCUUUGCCCUCUGGAAAAGUAAGGGACUUUUACACAGGACUUUAGCCUUUCUUUCUGUAUCAUGGUCUAUUUCUGGACAUUGAGACAAAAUUCUCUUUCAUCAUGUUACCUUCAAAUCUCAGACUCUCUGGGAGACCAAAUCCAGUUUGGAGCUGAGCCCGCCUAUAAGCAGAAUUCAUGAGAAAAGAACUGUAAGCAUGGAGUUAGUAGACCUGGUUUCAGAUGCUGGCCCUGUCACUUGUAGCAUGUCAUUUGAUCUCCCUGCUCCCAGCUUCCUGAGAUAUAAAUACAGGAUAAUAAUACCCACCUCAGAGCUGCUGCAAAGAUUGACUUGGAUGAUACAAUGCAUGCCAAAGCAUUUAAUAGAAUUCUUAGAAUAUACUAAUGCUGGAUAAGCAUGUGCUAGAUGAGAAUUUAAAUGAGUUUUUAGGAACACAAGUAUGAAUAUGAAGGUUUCCAAAAAUACCUUCACUCACAGCCCCUUGUAAAAAAAAAAAUGUCUAAAAUUGCAC
rnacentral:lncRNA from 1 species